AUGGAUGUGGGAGCAUCAACUCCGUUCCUUUGGGCUUUUGAGGAGCGGGAGAAAUUGUUGGAAUUCUAUGAAAGAGUCCCGGGAGCCAGGAUGCAUGCCAGUUUCAUACGACCUUAUGCCGCCCUUUAG
rnacentral:rRNA from 1 species